rnacentral:rRNA from 1 species
UACGAAGGGGGCUAGCGUUGCUCGGAAUUACUGGGCGUAAAGCGUGCGCAGGCGGUUUGUUAAGACAGAUGUGAAAUCCCCGGGCUUAACCUGGGAACUGCGUUUGUAACUGGCAAGCUAGAGUGUGGCAGAGGGGGGUGGAAUUCCAGGUGUAGCGGUGAAAUGCGUAGAUAUCUGGAGGAACACCGGUGGCGAAGGCGACAUCCUGGACCGGUAUUGACGCUGAGGGCGCGAAAGCCAGGGGAGCAAACGGG